rnacentral:rRNA from 1 species
AGUGAACGCUGGCGGUAGGCCUAACACAUGCAAGUCGAACGGCAGCACAGAGGAGCUUGCUCCUUGGGUGGCGAGUGGCGGACGGGUGAGGAAUACAUCGGAAUCUACUCUGUCGUGGGGGAUAACGUAGGGAAACUUACGCUAAUACCGCAUACGACCUACGGGUGAAAGCAGGGGAUCUUCGGACCUUGCGCGAUUGAAUGAGCCGAUGUCGGAUUAGCUAGUUGGCGGGGUAAAGGCCCACCAAGGCGACGAUCCGUAGCUGGUCUGAGAGGAUGAUCAGCCACACUGGAACGGAGACACGGUCCAGACGCCUACGGGAGGCAGCAGUGGGGAAUAUUGGACAAUGGGCGCAAGCCUGAUCCAGCCAUACCGCGUGGGUGAAGAAGGCCUUCGGGUUGUAAAGCCCUUUUGUCGGGAAAGAAAUCCAUCUGGUUAAUACCCGGGUGGGAUGACGGUACCCAAAGAAUAAGCACCGGCUAACUUCGUGCCAGCAGCCGCCGUAA